rnacentral:rRNA from 1 species
GAAUUUUAUAUAAAAGAAAUUAUAAAUAAAAAUUGAGUUAAUUUUUAAAUUAGUUUUUUAAUAUUUAAUUGGGAGGAUUAUUAAAUUUUUAUAACUUUAAUUAAUUAUUAUACGGAUGAGUAGAUGUUAUUGUUUGAAUGAUAAGUAUAUAUUUUAUUAGAAUUAAUUACCUUAGGGAUAACAGCAUAAUGUUUUUAGAUAGUUCAUAUAUAUAAAAAUGAUUGU